CAUGAUCAAGGCACCUCUUAUAAGGACAACAUUUAAUUGGAGCUGGCUUAUGGGUUCAGAGGUUCAGUCCUUUAUCAUCAAAGUGGGGCAAUGACAGUGUCCAGGGAGACAUGGUGCUGGAGGAGCUGAGAAUUCUACAUCUUGUUCCAAAGGCAGACAGGAGAAGACUGUCUUCCAGGCAUCUAGGAGGAGGAUCUCAAAACCCACCCCCAUAGUGACAUACUUCCUAUAACAAGGCCACACCCACUCCAACAAGACCACACCCACUCCAACAAUGCCACACCUCCAAAUAGUGCCACUCCCGGGGCUGAGCAUAUUUAAAACACCACAUUCCUCAUGUAGGGGUGGGACCUUGAAAGCCCUUUCUCUCUCCACUCCAGACUGUUGACUGACUGGAUCUUGUGCAGUUGUUACAGUGGCAACCACUUACAAGUAAAGCUAGUGGAGGAUCAGGGUCCAAGAGGAAGAUAGAUUAUGCAGAUUUUCCUGGUGCCUUUGCUUCAUCAUUGAUGGAUUCCAGGAUGAGUUAGAGCCAGCACAGUCGCAGAGAGGGAAAAGAGAAAGAAAGGGCGCACACCCCACCACCCGACCAUGUCGCAAGUCAGAAGGAAGAGUGCCACGUUUACGGUGAAAUCAAAGCAACCCCAGGUGUGCGUCAUCACACCGCACCUGGAAAUUAUGACAGUUAUGAUGAAUGAGGAUGAUACAGCAAAGCCAGCACCGACAAGAAGACCCUCCCGGGGUGACAACACCUGGAUCUAGAUCUCUUCUCCCUUCACGAUAGACUGCUCACAGGCGUUUUCCUUCUGACUUGCCAAACAGAAGCAACAGCAAUUAAAUGAGUAUAAAAAGA